UGUAUUACUUGUGGCUUCUGGUUAUUUGUUUCCCCUAGCGUUCCUUCCUGCUUUCGGACCAUGUAAGCCUUUGCACUAUUUAGCAUUAAAUACCCCCCCUCCCAGAUUUUUUUUAGACUAGGACACGCUGCAGGCACAGCACAGAAUCCCACUGAGUUUCAUUAUAGUCUUUGAUGUUUACGCUGAAGCACUUGAAAGAUUCACAAAGCCAUCAUGUCUGAUAAAAUGCCAUAUUAUAUGUGUUAUUUUCUGUGGAGAAAAUGAGAAUGAGAGGAGUACGUGGGUAGAAAUUGAUGUUCAGUAUUUUCUCUUAUUAGCAGGACCUUCUAAAGCAGCAACGCUGGCAUCCAUCUCUGUCAUUGUUUUACUGGUGAUUCUCUGCUCUUUGGGCAUCAUCGCCUUAAUGUAUCAAAGGAAGUCAAAAAAGCACAUCCCAGUGCAGACGCCAGAUGAAGUAAAACCCAUGAAUCCUGGCUCAUCUGAAGUGGACUCGUAGAUACUGUAGUACCCUGUGGCUUUCCCACUGACUCUUACCCUCACAUAGAACUGGACUCUGGUCAGAUGGUGUUUGUCACAGCCUAAUAACUUCCAACAACACCAUUCCCAAAUCAUCAGGGCUAUCUUGCUAUUAUUUUAGUUGUUUAUAUAGCCUAAGAAGCUUAAUAAAAAAUAAAUAAAUAAAAAAAGACUACUCAGUUGUGAUAGGUUUGUAGCUUGAACCCAUCCGCUGGAACGUUGAAGACAAUAUAAUUACACUGCAAAGCAAGACACAAGUAGGCAAGCUUCUUCAUGUUUC
ensembl:lncRNA